UACGUAGGGUGCGAGCGUUUGUCCGGAUUUAUUGGGCGUAAAGAGCUCGUAGGCGGUUUGUCGCGUCGGCCGUGAAAUCUCCACGCUUAACGUGGAGCGUGCGGUCGAUACGGGCAGACUUGAGUUCGGUAGGGGAGACUGGAAUUCCUGGUGUAGCGGUGAAAUGACGCAGAUAUCAGGAGGAACACCGGUGGCGAAGGCGGGUCUCUGGGCCGAUACUGACGCUGGAGGAGCGAAAGCCGUGGGGAGCGAACAGG
rnacentral:rRNA from 1 species